rnacentral:lncRNA from 1 species
CGUUGAAAUCUCAAUUGGAUAAAUUGUUUGACUUGUGUUUAAAUAAGGAUGUGACACUGACAGAUAUGUGUAGGCUCGAUUGAGAUUUGAUAAAUUGCUUGGGAGUGGAUGCCCGACUCUGAUACAAAUUAUUCAUUAUGUGGAGUUUAUCAUCUUAUGACUCACUUGUAUCCAAAAGAUAUGUCUGCUCAUAGCGUAAUCUUAUUUGGAAUAAGUUUGUACCAUCAAAGGUCCCCACUUUUGCUUGGCGAUUUGUUAAUAACAGGUUACCCACAAAGUAUAAUCUAUUUAUCUGUGGAUGUUUACGUAAUGAUUCCAUGUUAUGCUCAGCUGGUUGUAAUGUUAUUGAGGACAUCCAUCGUUUAUUUCUGAAUUGCCGUGUUUUUGUUGUAGUUGGAGUGGCAUCAUUUCUUGGUUAGGGAUCAUCUUUGAUUUUCAUGAUAAUGCAAUUUCGUUGACAUCUCAAUUUUGCAGGGCUCAUGAUUUCUGCAAAAAUAUUAGGAUCUAUAUAUAAACAAUUUGGUUGGCUUCAGUUUAGAAAGAUAGAAAUAAUAGAGUCUUUAACAAC